UACGUAGGGUGCAAGCGUUAAUCGGAAUUACUGGGCGUAAAGCGUGCGCAGGCGGUUGUGCAAGACAGAUGUGAAAUCCCCGGGCUUAACCUGGGAACUGCAUUCGUGACUGCACGGCUAGAGUGUGUCAGAGGGGGGUAGAAUUCCACGUGUAGCAGUGAAAUGCGUAGAGAUGUGGAGGAACACCGAUGGCGAAGGCAGCCCCCUGGGUCAACACUGACGCUCAUGCACGAAAGCGUGGGUAGCAAACAGGAUUAGAACCGUA
rnacentral:rRNA from 1 species